rnacentral:rRNA from 1 species
GACGAACGCUGGCGGCGUGCCUAAUACAUGCAAGUCGAACGCAGUGGGGACGGGUGAGUAACACGUGGGUAACCUCCCAUCAGAGGGGAUAACACUUGGAAACAGGUGCUAAACCGAUCAUGAUGGAUGGACCCGCGGUGCAUUAGCUAGUUGGUGCGGUAACGGCUCACCAAGGCCACGAUGCAUAGGUGACCUGAUAGGGUGAUUGGCCACACUGGGACUGAGACACGGCCCAGACUCCGACGGGAGGCAGCAGUAGGGAAUCUUCGGCAAUUGACGAAAGUCUGACCGAGCCACGCCGCGGUAGGUAAGAAGGUUUUCGGAUCGUAAAACUUUUUUGUUAGAGAAGCGGUAUCUAACCAGAAAGCCACGGCUAACUACGUGCCAGCAGCCGCGGUAAUAC